AUCGUCUCCCUACGAGAGCUCCUUCAACUCUAUAUAUCCCGGAUCCAGUCCCGAUUUCGGGGGCUAUGGCGAGUACUCACAGCAUGUGGAGCGAAGUGCCAAUGUGAGCGGUGGUGAUACAGACAGGCCAUCGAAUUCCGGUCGUCGUGGCAAACAGUUGAACCUGGGACCCCUCUACAACAUUCCCACUCCGGCUCCUGGUGAGGCAGCUGGCAGUGAUCGGAUCACUUUCCCACGGGAUCGCAGGCGCAGGAGCGUUGAGGAUGGUGUGUGGGCGGGAGCAGCUCCUAAGGAGCAGCGUGCCUAUUAUGGAAACCGACCCGUGGAAAAGACCUGCCGCAUCAACGAAGUCUGCUGCCGUCGUCCACUGCGUCCCCAGGCUCCUCCCCAGCAAUUUGGUCGUUGUGGAGUGAGGAACGCCGCUGGAAUCACCGGUCGCAUCAAGAAUCCCGUCUACGUUGAUGGAGACAGUGAGUUCGGCGAGUAUCCCUGGCAUGUGGCCAUUCUGAAGAAGGAUCCCAAGGAGUCGAUCUACGCCUGCGGUGGCACGCUCAUCGAUGCCCAGCACAUCAUUUCCGCUGCCCAUUGCAUUAAAUCUCAAAAUGGCUUCGAUCUUCGUGUGCGUCUGGGCGAAUGGGAUGUCAACCACGAUGUGGAGUUCUUCCCCUACAUUGAACGCGAUGUGGUUUCCGUGCACAUCCAUCCCGAGUACUAUGCCGGCACUCUGGACAAUGAUCUGGCCGUUCUGAAACUGGAUCAACCCGUUGACUUCACCAAGAAUCCGCACAUUAGUCCCGCCUGUCUGCCCGACAAGUAUUCCGAUUUCACUGGAGCUCGUUGCUGGACAACUGGAUGGGGCAAGGAUGCCUUCGGCGAGCACGGAAAGUACCAGAACAUUCUGAAGGAGGUGGAUGUGCCAAUCCUAUCGCACCAACAGUGCGAGUCCCAGCUGAGGAACACGCGUCUGGGCUAUAGCUACAAACUGAAUCCCGGAUUUGUGUGCGCCGGCGGAGAGGAGGGCAAGGAUGCCUGCAAGGGUGAUGGCGGUGGCCCAUUGGUGUGCGACCGGAAUGGAGCCAUGCACGUGGUCGGAGUGGUGUCCUGGGGCAUUGGAUGUGGUCAGGUGAACGUUCCCGGCGUCUACGUUAAGGUCUCCGCCUACCUGCCCUGGAUCCAACAGAUCACCCAGAGCUAUCAAUGAUUAACGGAUCAGCAGACUGACAAGGAGGAGGUGACUGGCUACCAUGCGAAUAUCACCGGAUCCGUUCCGGUUGACACCUCCUCCGAUGAGUUCGUUUUCCACUUCUGACCGAAGCCAUCUUUCAACACUCUCGCAUUCCAACUACCGACCGAAUCGUUUCGAUAGUGGCAUUCGUCAUCGUAUUUAUCACUCUUAGUUAUUACGGAUGUCUCCUUGAAUACCUGUUAUAUUUUGUUAUAUAUAUGAUUCACUUCCCUUCACUUCACUUGUUGACCCACUCAUUAGCUACUCACAGUUGUUGCUCAAUUGAAGACGCACUGGCGUCGCGUCACCUUGUCACUUCUUUGAUAUUAAUUGUAACGCGAAUCUUGUACACCGAGUUCCGAUUUUGUCUUGUAAAAUAGUGUUUGUCAUAACUUAUUUAUUUAUGUAUUUGUAAUAAAUAAUUAUGUAUUUAAAUAAAAAAAAAAUAAUUUAUAU
ensembl:ncRNA lncRNA:CR45893 long non-coding RNA:CR45893